rnacentral:rRNA from 1 species
UUAAAUUGAAGAGUUUGAUCAUGGCUCAGAUUGAACGCUGGCGGCAGGCCUAACACAUGCAAGUCGAACGGUAACAGAA